rnacentral:piRNA from 1 species
UGGAUCAAUGAUCAGAAGUUGAGCUGCCCUG